GGCUUGAAUUAAUCGAUGCGACUGUUUAAUCACCCAGUCCUGCUAAUAAUUCAUCUCCAGGCCGUCCUCAUCUUUCCUGGUCCUGUGAGGGACCUCGUUGUGGAUGAAGACGAGCAGAUCCUCUAUGCGGCCUGCUGCAGUGGAGUUUAUUGCAUCCGUUUUUCAUCGUUGUCGUCCAGGAUUCAAAGAGCCAACUCAUCUACUGCACCUUGUGUGAAAGUAUCCUCAAAGGAUCUUGUUAUCAGAGAAGAUGGAGUCUUCGCACUACUCUUGGUCAAUUCUGUGCUGCUGAGCCUCAGGCUGACGAAUGCAUCCUGGCUGUUGUCACGCUACAAAAUAGCCGAAGCGUCACAGUUGACCAGCUAUGAAACGUGCGGUUCAUUUAAAGUGCCGUUGAUCUCAGACUCAGAGGAUCACAGCCCAGAUGAGUUGAGCGAAAGGAGGCCGGUGCUGUUUUGUGUCCACUCUGCGGAUUCGCCAUCCUCCUCGAGCUUACCGAGCGGUCACAUCCGCCUUGAGCCACUCCUCUUCAAACUCCUAUUCGGGAUCGACGCAGCCCUAGCCAAAUCUCCGGUUGUUAUUUGCGGUCUGCCGGAUGGCCGUCUGUGUUUCGCCGCUCAUCGUGUUCCAGGCUCACAGCUCAGAGUCCUCCACAGCCUCGAACAGCCCGUUGUGUUUGUCGGCGCCUCCGCCGGGACUCGAACAGAUCCGGCAGACCGUUUGGUGGCGCUGGGCGAACGAGGCAGAGUUGUGCUGGUCGCAUCCAGGCGAGGAGGACCGCAAGGAGGCGGCGUCAGAGCUACUUUCACCGAGUUGUCUGUCCCCGGACCUGUGGUGUGUGCCUUUCUCCAUGAACGCCUCCUUUACUACAGCACUGGUUCAGACCUCCUGGUACUGCAUCUGGCCUCCGCCGAGGCAGCAAAUGAUGAAGCGGGAUCCCCAAACAAAGUUUCUCCCCCGUGGAACGUCAUUAGUUUAAAUGUGUGUCGGCUCAUUGCUUUGGCAAGACCCGCAAGGACCACUGAAGGUAAAGUUGAGCUGCUAGGACUGUCCUGCAGAGGGCAGCUCCAGAGGAUUUCCUUUCCUGUUGGUUUGCACGACGGAGGGCCGUCCCAGCUUCCUUCUUCACGCGCCGGCCGCAGCAUCAAAGAUGUCCUGUCGGCUAUUGGGAAUGUUUCUGAAAGAGCAUCGGUGCUGAAAGCCUCAAUCAAAUCCAGAAACCAAACCCUGAAACGGCUGAAUCAGGUGCUCAACAUCAUCUUCCUCUUGAGCGCCGGAGCAGACGGCGGGACGCUCUCACCCGCUCGGGAGAAACCGAUCCGAUGUCACGCCGCCAUCGGCUGGAUGACGUUGCUUCAGAAAGACUCUUUGAAUUUGAACUGCAUCCUGGAUAAUGCAAGUUCAUAUAUUCUGGAGCAAGGAUGGACAUUAAACGUCAGCGCAUCUUCGCUUUGCGACUCCACCAAGGGGCAAAGCCGCUCCGCGCAUUAUUCGUUCCCUUUCCAGAAUCUUCAGCCAGGAGAGAAACUGGAGAUUUCCCUGCCACUGGCUACCGAAGAAGAAUCGUCGUUGCCUUGUCUCGUUUCCUUCUCUCUGACUUUGUCACUCGGAUGGAUCCUCGGAGCAGAGGAGGCGGCUUCGCAGCCCGACGGCGGUCUUGUCAGUUUACCCUUGAACACACUGCUGGUGGAUUACUUGCACGCUCUGCGGAUGGUCGGUCCGGCCGGAAGAAACGCUACACCUCAACGCUACGACGUCACCGCCGGGGACGGCGUCCAAGCAUUUUUGGAAAGGCGCCGCGGCGGAGGAAGCCAUGCGGGGAGCGCCCGGCAUUCUACGAGCGUUAAGGUGUCGUCGCAGUUAGUGAGGGACACGUUGAAAAAUUCGGAGCGACGCCCCGGCGAGACGCUGCCGAGCGUGUGCGUCGCACUGCUGGACUGGCUCCUCCGUGAGGGCCACGGAGGCGUCAAGAUGGAAGGAGACAAGAUGGCCAUCAAGAACUCGGUGGUCCAUGCUCGAGCACCAAACGGUGGCGCAGUAAAGCUGACGGCAAAAGAGAUUAAACUGGCGGUGGAGCACGAGGAGUCCCUGGCCAUCGUGGAGGUUCAGGUUGAGAGCUCCUCAUUGGAAGCCGUGUGUGGAACGCAUCACGCAAUCCUGCGGAGAGUCCAGAAUUUGUUGCAGAAAGCACCCGAAAAGCCUUCUGCCACAAUCAGGAUGCAGAGUUUACGUGCGAGAGAGGCCCUACUGCGCGCCGAGGAAAUGUUGCAGCGGCUCCAUCAAAGCCGAGUCUCCUGUACCUUUGGUGAGGGCGUGUCCACGGGCAAGACACUGCCGUCUCCUUGACAACAGAACCAACAGCGAGGUCACGGGUAUGUUUUCGUUUCUCCUUUGAUUUAAUACUCCCACAAUGCCGAGCUACUCAGACUGAGUCCGUCCGCUUUCAGCGUGCCUCCCUGGUCCCCCCGCAAAUAGCGGCCGCCGCUGCUGCGGAUGGCGAGGCGGCCGCGCUCCGGGAGCUCCACGCUGAAAUCCUCGGGGACCUCGCCGUCCGAGCACACCAGACCGCCGCUGUCGACGUACCAGAAGCGACCGUUUGCCCCUGUGAGAAACGAUCCUCCGUCGGGGCUCAGCUGGAACCUCGCGGCCGCUGCGCACGUCGAUGGGCGGAGGAGGGGAAACGGGAGAAGAGCGGCGAAAGAGAUUGGAUACGGUGAAAUCUGAGGAGCCAAUCUGAAGUUAUCAAAACCUCCGCUGAUGGCCAUCGCAAGGCUCGGUCAAGCAUGCGCAACAAGGCCAUGUCAUCAUCACCGCCGCCGACAUAAGUUAAGUUUUGUAGUUGUGGCUCGCACACGGCAGAUGGGAAUCUUUGCCACGCGCCUUCGUUUUGGACGUAAGCCCAGCUCCGGCUCCGCUUUCUGCCGUUGUCCUACCUGCAGUCUGAAAGUGGAGCAGGCCCGACUAAUCCAUCAGCCAUAGAUGGCUCCGGCAUCUAUUAUUAAUGGCUAGCUGAUGCCACUAUCCCCGUCUCCUUUUUUUUUCUCUUUCUCCCAAUCUGUUAUCUUUCUCUACUGCAUUUUGUCUUGCCUUUUAUGUUUUUUUUAUUUUUUUUACUGCUCACAUUGGAUGCUUGCUUCAAAUGUAAAACAAAGAGAAUUACAUGCUGUGUAUGUAUAUAUACGACCAGGUUUCGCUGAUUUAGGAAAAGUCUGCUAGCUUAAUGCUACACCAACAAGCGUGAUCAGUGGAAUGCUUGGAUGAAAUCCGAAUCUUUUUCACGCACAGCACUAUUAGUGUAAACGCCCCCCCAAAAAAAGUGAAUCAUGAAAUAAACUGCUUCUCAUUCUCCUAAUCUACAGCAUCUACCUUGAAUAACAUCCAAGUUUCUUUUCUAGCCGGACUCGCUUGGUCCAUUAGCAACGAAAGGAGCACAAAGUGAGGUCGGAUGACUGCGGUUCUGAAUUCCUUUGAGAAUCCAUCAACAUCACGUCGUUGACUCCCUUGUGCACUUUCCCUUUCACCUGCGGCUCCUUUCAUCAUCGCGUCGCGCAGCAGAGGUACACACACACACACACACACAAACGCACUUCCCCGAUUCACUCGGCUACCUCAACAAUUAAGCUAGUUGCAAACAAAUGAGAUGCAGUGCCCGGACAUCCACGGCGCCGGCUUCGUUAAAUAACUGACAUUUCCGUUCAAAGAAGCUAUUUAAAGCAAUAAUUACACUUGCCACAGCAGCACAAGGUGAACCGACCGCACGUUUUGCUUUUUCUUUCGCUUGUGAUGAAUAGUUUUAAAUGUUCCCGUCAAACGUAGCUUUUGGAAUAAUGGUUGGUAACAAUUUGAGUGGGGCGCUGUAUUUCUAUUUCUUUUAUUUGUUAUGCGGCCGGCGUUGCGGAAUGGACUGUGUUCCACUUCACUGUAUUGUUAAAUUAAUACGACUCCAGGCCAUGGGCGGCGAUUAUUUGUUUGUCAUGGAAAACUGACCCUUAAGGGCCACAUGUGAUUUUUAAACGGUUGGAUGGGCAUUCAUACAUAUGCGGGCGGAUUUUUAAAAUUUCACAAAGUAUGUGUGUAGAAAUUAAUCAAAAUAAAAUCAUGAAUAAAUACAAUCCUAAUCUAAGGUCAGUGGGUGAGGUUAGAUUGGGUGAGGCCAAGACGCUUUUGGCCAGGGGUUGGGGGGCGGGGCUUGUGUUUCUGAAAGCAGACGCUCUCUUUACCUUCCAGGAACAGGGGACUAAAUUCAUCAAUAAUUCAACACACUUCACCUCCCCUGCUCGCCACAGUGGGACACGAUGUUAGUGCGUGUGGGCGUGUGUGCGAUGGUGAAAGAUGGCGCUUUUGUUUGUGUGAAGCGGAAGGAGGGCGCGAGGAAAAUGUACAAUCGGUAUGAUGCGAAUAUGGAAAUUGACAUGUAACGCGCAGAGAUGCUGGCAGUCCGUCCCUCCGAGUAAUCGAUUGAAUGCGCUCCCGGUUAUUUGGUUUCUGUCGGCAGCUCCGCCGCUAACUUGGAACAAUGAUCACGGGGACGGAUUGCGUUUCAGCAAACCGAGGUGGAGUAACGUAAGAAUCUGCAGCCAGUCGCCCGGCGUACCGACGGUAUGCUAAUCAGACCGGUGCGUGCGCCUUUUCAACCAUCGGCAACUGAACACUUAGCAACCACUCGUAGCGCCCUUCGACGUCGAUGUAAAAUGAGCCCCGGCAAAUUGCAAUCUUUACAAUUUUGCUCACGUAUCAAAGAAACGCGGCCUUGUUUUGGUCAAGAAUGGACUUUGGCGUCUUAACAGCAUUAGCCAGCAAAGCCGCUACAGGGAAAGCAAUAGACUUUUUCAUUUUUUUAUUUAAAGUGAAAUACAUUUAUGAUUGAUUUAGUGGUGAGACUCAAUUUAUGAUCAGCUUUGUAUGUCGGGGUGGAGCUAAAUUGAGCCUGGGUUGCCAUGGAGAGUUUUUGCCAUUAGGGAUGAGAAUAUUUCAAAUGAAAUCACGCUAUGGCUCCACCUACCUUGCCUCAUGGAAACGUAUUUCCCAUUGGCUGCCAUCAGAACCACUUGCGGGUGGCUCUCCUCCAGGUCGAACAAUUCGUCC